ensembl:snRNA Rnu6-260 RNA, U6 small nuclear 260
GUGCUGGCAUUGGCAGUACAUAUAAGAAGACUGAAACAGCACAGAGAUCAGCGUGGCCCCUGUGCAAGAGUGACCUGCAAAUCAUGAGGCGUUCCAUGUUUAA